UGGCUGGCUGGCUGGCUGGCUGGCUGGCUGGCUGGCU
rnacentral:rRNA from 1 species